rnacentral:rRNA from 1 species
CUCAACCGGGGAAUCGCAGGGCGAACUGCGCGUCUUGAGGCAGGCAGAGGCCGUCGGAACGCUCGGUGGAGCGGUGAAAUGCAUAGAUAUCGAGCGGAACGCCGAUGGAGAAGUCAGGCGGCUGGGCCUGCCCUGACGCUGAGGCACGAAAGCGUGGGGAGCGAACGGGAUUAGAUACCCCGGUAGUCCACGCCCUAAACAUUGCGCACUAGGCCGGGGGCGUUUUGACGCGCUCUCGGCCGAAGAGAAAUCAUUAAGUGCGCCGCCUGGGGAGUACGGUCGCAAGGCUAAAACUCAAAGGAAUUGACGGGGGCUCACACAAGCGGUGGAGCAUGUUGCUUAAUUCGAAGCAACGCGAAGAACCUUAUCCUGGGCUUGACAUGCGCGGAUUAGCCCGUGGAAACACGGGCGACGCCCUCGGGUGGAACG